rnacentral:rRNA from 1 species
UACGGAGGGAGCUAGCGUUGUUCGGAUAUACUGGGCGUAAAGCGCACGUAGGCGGCGCAGCAAGUCAGGGGUGAAAUCCCGGGGCUCAACCCCCGGAACUGCCCUUGAAACUGCAGUGCUAGAAUCUUGGAGAGGCGAGUGGAAUUCCGAGUGUAGAGGUGAAAUUCGUAGAUAUUCGGAAGAACACCAGUGGCGAAGGCGACUCGCUGGACAAGUAUUGACGCUGAGGUGCGAAAGCGUGGGGAGCAAACAGG